GGAAAGUAUUUUUUAUAAAAAACUAUUUACUUUGGCGGCAUCUAAUCUAAUUAGAGGAACCUGUUAUUUAAUCGAUAAUCCACGAUCAAAUUCACUCUUAUUUUCAUACAAUUUAUAUACCGCCAUCAUAAGAAUUAACUAUAAUAAAUUAUUCUAAAUAAUAAACUAAAAAGUUAGGUCAAGGUGUAAUCUAUAUAAAAGAUUUAAAUGGGUUACUUUAAAUAUAUUUUAGGAUAGUAAAAAUAAAUUUUUAUUUAGAAAAAGGAUUUAUAAGUAAAUUAUUAAUAUAAUUUUCAAUUGAAAAUGAAUUUCAUGUGC
rnacentral:rRNA from 1 species